rnacentral:rRNA from 1 species
AUUGAACGCUGGCGGCAUGCCUUACACAUGCAAGUCGAACGGUAACAGGUCUUCGGAUGCUGACGAGUGGCGAACGGGUGAGUAAUACAUCGGAACGUGCCCGAUCGUGGGGGAUAACGAAGCGAAAGCUUUGCUAAUACCGCAUAAGAUCUACGGAUGAAAGCAGGGGACCGCAAGGCCUUGUGCGAAGGGGGCGGACGAUGGCAGAUUAGGUAGUUGGUGGGAUAAAAGCUUAACAAGCCGACGAUCGGUAGCUGGUCUGAGAGGACGACCAGCCACACUGGGACUGAGACACGGCCCAGACUCCUACGGGAGGCAGCAGUGGGGAAUUUUGGACAAUGGGCGAAAGCCUGAUCCAGCCAUGCCGCGUGCAGGAUGAAGGCCUUCGGGUUGUAAACUGCUUUUGUACGGAACGAAAAGACUCUUUCUAAUAAAGAGGGUCCAUGACGGUACCGUAAGAAUAAGCACCGGCUAACUACGUGCCAGCAGCCGCCGUAAGAC